ACGGAAGGCAGCAUUGGGGAAUAUUGGGCAAUGGGCGAAAGCCUGACCCAGCAACGCCGCGUGAAGGAAGAAGGUCUUCGGAUUGUAAACUUCUUUUAUGAGGGACGAAGGAAGUGACGGUACCUCAUGAAUAAGCCACGGCUAACUACGUGCCAGCAGCCGCGGUAAUACGUAGGUGGCAAGCGUUAUCCGGAUUUACUGGGUGUAAAGGGUGCGUAGGCGGGGAUGCAAGUCAGGUGUGAAAUCUAUGGGCUUAACCCAUAAACUGCACUUGAAACUGUAUCUCUUGAGUGCUGGAGAGGUAGACGGAAUUCCUUGUGUAGCGGUGAAAUGCGUAGAUAUAAGGAAGAACACCAGUGGCGAAGGCGGUCUACUGGACAGUAACUGACGCUGAGGCGCGAAAGCGUGGGGAGCAAACAGGAUUAGAUACCCUGGUA
rnacentral:rRNA from 1 species